rnacentral:rRNA from 1 species
GAUGAACGCUGGCGGCGUGCUUAACACAUGCAAGUCGAACGGUGAAGGCGGAGCUUGCUCUGCUGGAUCAGUGGCGAACGGGUGAGUAACACGUGAGCAAUCUGCCCCUGACUCUGGGAUAAGCGCUGGAAACGGCGUCUAAUACUGGAUACGAGCUGCGAAGGCAUCUUCAGCAGCUGGAAAGAACUUCGGUCAGGGAUGGGCUCGCGGCCUAUCAGCUUGUUGGUGAGGUAACGGCUCACCCAGGCGUCGACGGGUAGCCGGCCUGAGAGGGUGACCGGCCACACGGGGACUGAGACACGGCCCAGACUCCUACGGGAGGCAGCAGUGGGGAAUAUUACACAAUGGGCGAAAGCCUGAUGCAGCAACGCCGCGUGAGGGACGACGGCCUUCGGGUUGUAAACCUCUGUUAGCAGGGAAGAAGCGAAAGUGACGGUACCUGCAGAAAAAGCGCCGGCUAACUACGUG